GCAGGAACAAUGAUGUUGUUAUGAAAGCAUACCACCACAUUUUUUGCUGUCUUAUUAAAGUGUUUUAUGUUGAAAGGUAUUGUAUGAAAUGAAUGAUGAUGUUUGCUGCCUUCUGAGCUGCUGAAAUGUUUUCAUUAAAUGUUUUUCAUUUAAAUGUUUCUCCAUCACUGCCGCUACUGCAGUCUAUCAACUUAUUUCACUUAUUUCAGGAGUAGAUUGUACAUUCAGAUUGGGAACAAGUCUAAAUUAAAGGGUCAGUCCGUCCAAAUGUACGAAAACAUUCUGAUUUGCUCUUACUGGUAGACAGAUUUUAUACAAAUAGUAUGGGGGUCAUAUGGCAGAAAAAAUUUAUAUGGAAGUCUGUUCUAACGAAUUGCUUAAAAUGAU